UUUUUAUUUUUUUUUUUUAUUUUUUUAUGCUCGAGGGUCUGGUAAAGUCUAGGUGCCACCAUCGCUGUGUGUCUUGGAAUCUGCAUGCAGGAAGGGGUUGCCAUACAUAUGCGUUCGGACAGAAUUCCCCACUCCUAGCGUGCCACAUCAUCCUCAAUUGCCUUAAAAGAGAAAAAAAAAACGAUGGCAGUCAUAAAAUUCACCAAAUGAACUUGUAUAAAAGAUUUCAGCUAUGAGCAUUAGGGGAGCACAAUAAAGAAUUUAUGCAGACUGUAAACAGUAGAGCGAGGUGCAUUUCACGGUAUGCUCUGAAGCAGGAACUUUCAUUGGAUCAAGGUUUUGCAAGGAAUCACAAAGCAAGCAGUUCACCGUAUGAUUCCUAAUUACCUAAGUCCAACAUGCAUGUAUCUGAUUCUAACAGAAGAAAUGCUACUUGACUUGUUGCUUAUUGCAAGGAGAAUCACACCACAUCAUUUCUUCAUACAAGAACACUAAAAGUCUUCUAACAGCUUUUGCUGUGACUGGAAUCCAAUGUGUUGCAUUCAUCUCGAUAGUCAUUACAGAUGACAGAAUAAGCUCCAAGAGCUAGCAUUCCUACUGAGAGAUCUUUAUUUAGAUGAUCGAAGUCAUAUUCAUCUCGAUAUUUAUCAUAGAUGGCAGAUCAUAUUACUGCAGUUAUUCCCCUUGUUUUUAUCCCGGGUGAUGUCAGUAUGUCAUAGUUCUUGACGGGAACCAAACACCA